AUCAAACUGAUCAGUCUCAAAUAGGACGAAACGAGCGUCCAACUGGAU
rnacentral:hammerhead_ribozyme from 1 species